AGAGUUUGAUCCUGGCUCAGGACGAACGCUGGCGGCGCGCCUAACACAUGCAAGUCGAACGGGACUGUUCAAUCGGAAGUUUUCGGACGGAAGAAUGAACAGUUUAGUGGCGAACGGGUGAGUAACGCGUGAGUAACCUGCCUUUCAGAGGGGGACAACAGUUGGAAACGACUGCUAAUACCGCAUAAGCCCACGGUGUCACAUGGCACAGUGAGAAAAGGAGAAAUCCGCUGAAAGAUGGACUCGCGUCUGAUUAGAUAGUUGGUGGGGUAACGGCCUACCAAGUCGACGAUCAGUAGCCGGUCUGAGAGGAUGAACGGCCACACUGGAACUGAGACACGGUCCAGACUCCUACGGGAGGCAGCAGUGGGGAAUCUUCCGCAAUGGGCGAAAGCCUGACGGAGCAACGCCGCGUGAGUGAUGACGGCCUUCGGGUUGUAAAGCUCUGUGAUCGGGGACGAACGGUCAGCAGACGAAUACUCUGCUGAAGUGACGGUACCCGAAUAGCAAGCCACGGCUAACUACGUGCCAGCAGCCGCGGUAAUACGUAGGUGGCAAGCGUUGUCCGGAAUUAUUGGGCGUAAAGCGCGCGCAGGCGGCUUCUUAAGUCCAUCUUAAAAGUGCGGGGCUUAACCCCGUGAUGGGAUGGAAACUGAGAGGCUGGAGUAUCGGAGAGGAAAGUGGAAAUUCCUAGUGUAGCGGUGAAAUGCGUAGAGAUUAGGAAGAACACCGGUGGCGAAGGCGACUUUCUGGACGACACUGACGCUGAGCGCGAAAGCGUGGGAGCAAACAGGAUUAGAUACCCUGUAGUCACGCCGUAACGAUGAUACUAGUGUAGAGUAUCGACCCCUUCUGUGCGAGCUACACAUAGUAUCGCUGGAGUACGAUCGCAGAUAAACUCAAGGAUGACGGGGCCGCACAAGCGGUGGAGUAUGUGUUAUUCGACGCACGCGAGAACUACAGGUCUGACAUGAUCGCUAUUCCAGAAUGAAGUUCCUCUUCGGAGGACGAGAAACAGGUGGUGCAGCUGUUCGUCAGCUCCUUGUCUGGAGUUGGUAAGUCCCGCAACGAGCGCAACCCCUAUCUUAUGUUACCAGCACGUUAUGGUGGGGACUCAUGAGAGACCGCCGCGGACAACGCGGAGGAAGGUGGGGAUGACGUCAAGUCAUCAUGCCCCUUAUGACCUGGGCUACACACGUACUACAAUGGGUGUCAACAAAGAGAAGCGAAGCCGCGAGGCAGAGCAAACCUCAAAAACACACCCCCAGUUCAGAUUGCAGGCUGCAACCCGCCUGCAUGAAGUAGGAAUCGCUAGUAAUCGCGGGUCAGCAUACCGCGGUGAAUACGUUCCCGGGCCUUGCACACACCGCCCGUC
rnacentral:rRNA from 1 species